GGAUGUCCAUGGAUAUGAUUCCCAAACCAUUAAGUGUUCUGUCUGGUUCAGCCAAUCAAUACCUCAUUGCAAUAAAUCAGGGGAAGGGAAAAAACGGAGCAACAAUAAGCCGCGCGGGGCAAGGUCGACGGAGAGCACAGCUGCCGUGACAGCAGACAAAGGAGCAGGACCUCGGAUGGCAGAUGGUCACCUGACACCCAGUAUCAAGGAAAAUGAAGGAUGAUUGUGAAAGGUCUAAUGGAUGCUGUCGGUUCAUUCUGUGGCUGAAGGGCUAAGAGAGGAACAGCCCUUAACUGAAGGAAAAUACAGGAUGACAAAGCCCAGAGCUGGGAGGUGCUGUUUUUUGGCUGGUUGGGCCGAUGACCUUUAGCCAGAGCUGCAACACCAAGCUGUGUGAGGCUGGGCUCUCUGGAGGAAUAUCUGUAAGGCUGUUCUGAGCUGAAGCUGACAGAGUGAGCUGCGCAGAGACUGUGACGCACGGGAGGUGACAGAGGAGGGGGCGGCUGUUUAACACCUUAGACAGGGGCACCGUGAAACAGCGCCCCGUGUCAUUCACUCUCCAGGCAUCUGUUUGAGUUUGCCCGCGACAAGUGCUUGAUGCUUUGCUGCCCUCGGCAAGAGGGUCGCCUUCCCUGAGGCUGCAACGGGAGCAAGCGACAGCAUCGUACCCCUCUGGCUGAGCGUCUACUGCUCCAACACCUUCUCUGGCUGGCUGACUGCCUUCACAUUACAUAAACCCCAGGUGCUGAGGAGCUGUAAUCCAGAAAACAGCUCUGUGACACACACCCACGUCACGGCGCAUGUCUGAGGGUCUCCUUCACCCUCUCGCCCCUGUGGGCCGCCAUCCUGCCUGCUUCUUGCAUCAACCAUGUCAGGUCUGAUAUGCGUCCUACUUAAAAGGAUGCUAAAAGGAAACCUGCCGAAAGGUCUGCAUGCUCACUGGGGACACCAUGGAAUUCCUGUAAAAAGAAGCAGCUUUGCUCAGGUUAGCUAAAAUAGUUCAGCACUGCCCUACCUGCUAGUUAACCGAUUACUGCUGUUGGGUUACUAAGCACACCUGUGCCAGGUACAUCCUAACCUCAGGGGUAAAUACCUGGUGGUAUGAACUUCAAACUGUUUAUAGUCAUUUCAGCUGCUUUGCACAGCGUCAUCUUAUAAGAUGAAAAAUGUAUAACGACGGAUUUAGGGUUCUUACAGGAGCACUGGAAAAUAAAUCACAGAACAUUGACCUCAAGGACAUGAAAACAGUAUACAGACAUGCCUACUUGACAUGACUGCCCUAACAGACCACCAGACAUAAACACCACGACAGACUACCGGACAUGACUGCCCUCACAGUCUCGCAGACAUAACCGCCCUAAUAGACUACCAGAUAUGACUGCCCUCACAGACUUCCAGACAUGACCGGCCUAACAGAAUACCGGACAAGACCACCCGCACAGACUACCAUACAAAACUGCCCUCACUGGCUGCCAGACAUGACCUCCCUCAUAGACUACCGGACAAGACCACCCGCACAGACUACCAGACAAAACUGCCCUCACUGGCUGCCAGACAUCACCUCCCUCAUAGACUACCGGACAAGACCACCCGCACAGACUACCAGACAAAACUGCCCUCACUGGCUGCCAGACAUGACCACCCUCAUAGACUACCGGACAAGACCACCCUCAUAGACUACUGGACCUGAUACACUGAUUCACACUGAGAGAAUACAAGGUUCAAAACCCGCCUCCACUCUGUGCACAUGCAGUUUGCAUGUUCUCCCCAUGUCACACAGGUCUUAUUCAGAUACUCCAACUUCCUUCUGCAGUUCUUAGGCUAACUAUCAUCUUUAAAUUACCUAAAGUGUCCGACUGAGUGUGUUUGUUCGCCCUGUGAUGGAUCGUUUCUGGGGGGCAAGGAGAUCUAUCAAGAUCAAUCACACACAGAAUAUGUGCCAGAAGUGUGAAUUAUCAAAAUGGGCAUUUAUUGUGUUUCACACCAUUCAUUCACCAUUCAAGCUCAUUGAUUUCUUGCAUAAUGCACACUAGAAAUAAAAAUUAAAAUGCAUAUACUAAACGCUGCUUCACUUGUAAAACGGAACGUCCCGUUUUCCCUAUUUUGGCACAUUUACACACAGUGAGAGUGACGCUUGGGAUCAGAGCAUAGGGUCAGACUAUUUAUCGGGGUCCCUUGGAGUAUUUCAGGAGGUUAAGAGCCUUGCUCAAGGGGCCCAAAAGAGAUGCAAUCAUUGUGCCAAGGCUGAGAUUCAAACCGGUGACCUUCUAAUGACAGGAGCAGAGGUGUAACCUACAGCGCCACAUCGCACCCAUGAACUGCUGAGCUGAGGUUUAUAUCACAGCAUGCUUAAACACCCAGUUCUGAUUGGUGCACAAACAGCCCAAAGAGGUU